GUGGGGAAUAUUGCACAAUGGGCGCAAGCCUGAUGCAGCAACGCCGCGUGAGGGAUGACGGCCUUCGGGUUGUAAACCUCUUUUAGUAGGGAAGAAGCGAAAGUGACGGUACCUACAGAAAAAGCACCGGCUAACUACGUGCCAGCAGCCGCGGUAAUACGUAGGGUGCAAGCGUUGUCCGGAAUUAUUGGGCGUAAAGAGCUCGUAGGCGGCUUGUCGCGUCUGCUGUGAAAUCCCGGGGCUCAACCCCGGGCCUGCAGUGGGUACGGGCAGGCUAGAGUGCGGUAGGGGAGAUUGGAAUUCCUGGUGUAGCGGUGGAAUGCGCAGAUAUCAGGAGGAACACCGAUGGCGAAGGCAGAUCUCUGGGCCGCUACUGACGCUGAGGAGCGAAAGCAUGGGGAGCGAACAGGAUUAGAAACCCCAGUAGUCC
rnacentral:rRNA from 1 species